rnacentral:rRNA from 1 species
AUUGAACGCUGGCGGCAGGCCUAACACAUGCAAGUCGAACGAGUGGCGGACGGGUGAGUAAUGUCUGGGAAACUGCCCGAUGGAGGGGGAUAACUACUGGAAACGGUAGCUAAUACCGCAUACCAUCGGAUGUGCCCAGAUGGGUUUAGGUGGUUGGUGGGGUAACGGCUCACCAAGGCGACGAUCCCUAGCUGGUCUGAGAGGAUGACGAGCCACACUGGAACGUGGACACGGUACAGACUCCUAAGGGAGGGAGCAGUGGGAAAUAUGGGACAAUGGGGGCAAGCCUGAUGCAGCCAUGCCGCGUGUAUGAAAGAGGCCUUCGGGUUGUAAAGUACUUUCAGCGGGGAGGCGGUACCCGCAGAAGAAGCACCGGCUAACUCCGUGCCAGCCGCCGCGGUAAUUC